CUCUUAUCCGGAGAGGUGGAGGGACCGGCCCUACGAAACCUCGACAACCUAUCGGGGAACAGUCCGAUGUGGUGCCAAAUCCGGCAGACAAUUUGUUCUGAUAGAUGAGAG
rnacentral:ncRNA from 2 species